UUGGCCAAAGAUUGCUCACAUCCCUAAUCUCGAGAUUCAACCUCCAGAGGAAUAUUUUCAAUUUCGCUUAUAUGGAGAGACAGAUUCAGGAGAAAGAGUAAUAUAAUAUAGAGGAUCUCAAGUUUCAAAUUUACCACAAAAAAUAUGUGAGAAUUACUAUUUAUUAAAUUGAAUUCUUUUCAUUUCUUAAAUGAUAGUAAUUCCAUGGUCUUGAUUAUUUUGCCUUCUAUUCUCAAUUCUUUUAUAUGAUUUUUCUAGAUUUUACUUUGAACUAUUUUAUAAGCAUAAAUAGAAAACCUCUCUAACAAAAUGUAAAUUACUCUUCAUCUUAUUUAAUGACGCAGUGAUACAUGUCUAGGGAGAUGGAUAUGCAAAGUGAAACAAUCUUGUGCUAUUUUUAAUUCUGGUAAGUUAGUGCUUCAAAAUCAAGAAUCCGAAGCUACUUUUGUCUUUAAUUAAAGGGGUUAAUUAGUUUGGUUCUCAUUCCUACAUGCAGGAGUUGGAAGCAUAAUUCUACAAAUUUGAUUAUUCUCCAUAUAGGCAAUUUAUAGUAAUCUAUUGAAUGGCAUUUGUACCUUUCAUUUGUUAAAUUCUAAUAGUUGAAGUGUUGAUUUAAGCUGUACAUAAUAAAUAAUUAUUUUAAAACAUUUAUUACAUAUAUGUAACAUUGAAAAUAGAACUUAUUUUUUAUAAUUUAUAAAUAAUAUUAGCUAAAUGAUCA
rnacentral:misc_RNA from 1 species